CUACGGGAGGCAGCAGUGGGGAAUAUUGGACAAUGGGCGCAAGCCUGAUGCAGCAACGCCGCGUGAGGGAUGACGGCCUUCGSGUUGUAAACCUCUUUUAGCAGGGAAGAAGCGAAAGUGACGAUACCUGCAGAGAAAGCGCUGGCUAACUUCGUGCCAGCAGCCGCGGUAAU
rnacentral:rRNA from 1 species